UAAAGAAGUUGUUUUGAUGUACAGGAACCAUUUAGUGCCAUCGUUGAAAGAGAUAACAUUCGUUACUCGACCAGCGGAAAAAAUAGGCGUCGUUGGUCGCACCGGUGCUGGAAAAAGUUUGUUACUAUCUUCGUUGUUUAGACUGACAGAGAUCAGUUCUGGGAGUAUAUUAAUCGACAACGUGAAUAUUCAAACGUUACAACUGAACACAUUAAGAUCCCAUUUA